rnacentral:rRNA from 1 species
GUCCUCUUGUUUAUAUAUAUGAGGUCUGACCUGCCCGGUGAAAUUUAUUUUAACGGCCGCAGUAUUUUGACUGUGCAAAGGUAGCAUAAUCAUUAGUCUUUUAAUAGAAGGCUGGUAUGAAGGGUUUGACGAGGUGUUUACUGUCUCAUUUAAUUUGUAUUUAGAAUUUAACUUUUCAGUUAAAAGGCUGAAAUGGUAUUGGAAGACGAGAAGACCCUAUAGAGCUUUAUAAUUGAAAUUUUAAUUAUUUUUUGUUUAUUAUUUUUCAUUAUUAUUUUAAUUAUUUUGUUGGGGUGACAAAAAUAUAUAAUCAACUUUUUUAUUUAAUUAACAUUAAUUUAUGAUUAUUAGAUCCAUUCUUAGUGAUUGUUAGAUUAAGUUACCUUAGGGAUAACAGCGUAAUCUUCCUUCAGAGUUCAUAUUUACGGGAAGGCUUGCGACCUCGAUGUUGGAUUAAGAUAAUAAUUAGGUGUAGCCGCUUAAUAUAUAGGUCUGUUCGACCUUUAAAUUCUU